rnacentral:rRNA from 1 species
AGCGGAGGAAAAGAAACCAACAGGGAUUGCCCUAGUAACGGCGAGUGAAGCGGCAUCAGCUCAAAUUUGAAAUCUGGCUCUUUCAGGGUCCGAGUUGUAAUUUGCAGAGGGCGCUUUGGUGUUGGCAGCGGUCCAAGUUCCUUGGAACAGGACGUCACAGAGGGUGAGAAUCCCGUACGUGGUCGCUGGCCUUCGCCGUGUAAAGCCCCUUCGACGAGUCGAGUUGUUUGGGAAUGCAGCUCUAAAUGGGAGGUAAAUUUCUUCUAAAGCUAAAUACUGGCCAGAGACCGAUAGCGCACAAGUAGAGUGAUCGAAAGAUGAAAAGCACUUUGGAAAGAGAGUCAAAUAGCACGUGAAAUUGUUGAAAGGGAAGCGCUUGCAGCCAGACUUGCCUGUAGUUGCUCAUCUAGGCUCUUUGCCUAGUGCACUCUUCUGCGGGCAGGCCAGCAUCAGUCUAGGCGGUUGGAUAAAGGCCUCUGUCAUGUACCUCCUCUCGGGGAGGCCUUAUAGGGGAGGCGUAAUGCAACCAGCCUGGACUGAGGUCCGCGCAUCUGCUAGGAUGCUGGCGUAAUGGCUGUAAGCGGCCCGUCUUGAAACACGGACCAAGGAGUCUAACAUCUAUGCGAGUGUUUGGGUGUCAAGCCCGAGCGCGUAAUGAAAGUGAACGGAGGUGGGAUCCCUUUAGGGUGCACCAUCGACCGAUCCUGAUGUCUUCGGAUGGAUUUGAGUAAGAGCAUGGCUGUUGGGACCCGAAAGAUGGUGAACUAUGCUUGAAUAGGGUGAAGCCAGAGGAAACUCUGGUGGAGGCUCGCAGCGGUUCUGACGUGCAAAUCGAUCGUCAAAUUUGGGCAUAGGGGCGAAAGACU